rnacentral:rRNA from 1 species
GACAGUUCGGUCCCUAUCCUAUGCGGGCGCAGGAUACUUGAGAAGGGUCGCUUCUAGUACGAGAGGACCGAAGUGAACGUAUCUCUAGUGCACCAAUUGUCACGCCAGUGGCAUAGUUGGGUAGCUACAUACGGUUGUGAUAAGCGCUGAAAGCAUCUAAGCGCGAAGCACGCUUCAAGAUAAGGUAUCCCUUACGUAAGUAACUAAAGACUCCUCGGAGAUGACGAGGUUGAUAGGCUAUAGGUGUAAGUGCAGCAAUGUAUUCAGCCAAGUAGUACUAAUAGGUCGUGAGGCUUAUCCAU